rnacentral:rRNA from 1 species
AGAUACCCGGGUAGUCCACGCCGUAAACGAUGACAACUAGCUGUUGGGAGACUAUGUCUUUCAGUGGCGCAGCUAACGCUUUAAGUUGUCCGCCUGGGGAGUACGGCCGCAAGGCUAAAACUCAAAUGAAUUGACGGGGACCCGCACAAGCGGUGGAGCAUGUGGUUUAAUUCGAUGCAACGCGAAAAACCUUACCUACUCUUGACAUACUUGGGAGCUCUUGUAAUGAGAGUGUGCCUUAUGGAACCAAGAUACAGGUGGUGCAUGGCCGCCGUCAG